GAAGCCUCUGCCUUUUCUGUUUAAAGGUGUCACCAGGGUAGCCUUCAGCAAUGGCCGAGGAGUUGCGCCCAGGCGUGCCCCACGACGAUGGCGUCAGCCUCCGAGUGCGGCUGAAGCGUGCGGCCCCAGGAGCCGGGCAUUCUUGGGAAAAGAACGAAGAAACAACAGGAAGUUGUUGAACAACAGUGCCAGCAGGACCUUCCCAGAUGUCGAGGCAGCCUUCCUUUGCACCUGACACAGACCGGCAUCCCCAGAUGUCUGAGAGAUAAG